CGAGCGUCAUUACAACCCUCAAGCAUUGCUUGGUGUUGGGCUCCGCCGCUAAUCCGGCGGGCCCUAAAACCAGUGGCGGUGCCGUCGCGGCCCUGAGCGCAGUAAAUUUCCUCGCUAUAGGGACCCGGCGGACGCUGGCCACCAACCCCCAACUUUCUAAGUUUGACCUCGGAUCAGGUAGGGAUACCCGCUGAACUUAA
rnacentral:misc_RNA from 1 species